rnacentral:lncRNA from 1 species
UGGGUACGCUUUCUUGUUUCUUUCGCCAUGGCUAAUGGUUGCGGCUUUUCCUUUGUUUAGGCGUUUCUUGUGUUGAUGGGUUGUUCUUCUUUGGUUUAGGUGUGAGCUGAGGGUGGUGAGUGAUGCCAACCUCUUCUUCAUAGAGACAAUCCUCAAACACCAUGGGCUUCUGGAGUAUUUCUCAGAGAUUAAUACCAAUCCAAGCUAUGUGGAUGAGGAGGGGAGGCUUAGGAUCUUCCCUUACCAUGACUUCACCACCUCUCUCCAUGGCUGCAGCCUCUGUCUUCCAAACAUGUGCAAGGUAAAUAUUUUUUUUGAGGAAUCUUUAAUUAUUUAUUCACUAUCACAUGAUGCAAGGUGGAAUCCUAUGGUUGCUUAUGGUAAAUAUUCUCUGACCAUGAAGAUAGAGAUUAAACCAUGUAAAUUUAGUACCUUUUAAAGCCAUAACUUUAUCGAUGUUUUCAAAAAUCUACACUUGUUAUUUAAAUUGUGACUUUUUCUUCCUCCUCUCCAUAAUGCUUUGGAAAAAGAAGAGAGAGAGAGAGAGAGAGUGAUUUUGUAGAACAAUCUGGUUGGAACUUUGAAGGUCAAAACAGAUUUUAAUCACUUCCCUGAGCAAAGAAUACAGAAUAUAUCUCAGCCAGAUACAUGAGAAAGCAUUGAUGUAGACCUCCAAAGCAUUGUGAUAACAAUUUUGCCAUACAACAACUCACAGUAAGAUAUUUAGGAACAGUGGUUGCAAUAGGAACGAACAGUUUCUUGAGUUGUUAUAGCCCUUUUCUGAGUCUUGAUUCUCUGAUUACUUUGGCACUCAAUCCAAUCCUCUGUUUCACCAAAUACAGGGUAAGAUCAUCGAACGAAUCCAAGCGCAAGCCUCUGCAGAGAGAAAGAAGCGAUUCAUCUACUUGGGUGACGGCAGAGGAGACUACUGCCCUUCUCUCAGGCUAAGUGAAGAAGACCAUGUGAUGCCAAGGAAGAAUUACCCUCUGUGGAAGCUCAUCGGCGACAACCCUCAGCAGUUCAAGGCCGAAGUUCAUGAAUGGAGCAAUGCUGAGGAGCUUCAAAGGAUCCUCUUGCAGCUCAUCGACAGGUCGAUCACCGUCGAUCGCAAAAAUGCUGCCCAGUAGAUUGCAGGUUUGAGAAAAUUCCAAUGUCACCCAAUUAAGCCCUUCCCCUGGGUCUCAGGGUUCCUCACCAACCAUCCCUCACUUGACCCUCAAAUAUUUGGCACGAGUGAUAGAUUUACUUGAAUUAUGAUAAGGACCAUUUUAGCACCAUCCAUUUUGUUUUUUGUUUUUUUUUUUGGGCCCAUCUUUCACCUUUUGUACCUGAUAUGUCUUGAAAAAUUUUCGAAAUAUUGUGGUGUAGAGAGGACUUCUUUGAUCCCACAUCAGUUAUGAAUUAAAAGAAAGUAUAGUUUAUAUGGAUUGAAAUCUUCUCUCUCCGAUCAGACAUUUUUUUAAAAGAUAAAAUCAUGAGGUUUCGUGCGACAAUGUCAAAGAUCAAAGUGGACAAUACCUCAUAUAUAUAGGUACAUAAUUAAUCCAACCAUCCGAGCCAUUCGACCCUUUGAUCUAUGUUGUAGAAAAUUUUUUAUAAUACUAGUUGAAAAUAAAUCUAUAUAUUCCACUGGAAUACUAGAUCAACCUCGCAUGUGUUCUCCAUAGACAGCCAUUUUGUGGUCCUCCUGUCGUCAUUCUGAAAGCUCCACAUUUGUUCCACCCAAGCGUAGUACCAGCAUCAGUGGAGUGAGGCAUCUUUUGACGAAUGGGCACAUCAUGGCAGCAAAGGCAUGAUCCAUCCACAUGAUGACGUUUACAUUCUCAAAAGGAGACAUACAGUAGGGAACUGAAGAAAAGAUUCCAGAAAGCAGAAAAUAUAAUAUAAGAUGUUCCUUGUCAAAAGAGCAUCACAAACCAAAAAUCAUAGACAUAAUGAUACCACUUGUUUUAAAUUUCACAUAACAAAAGACCAAAGCAUGAUCAUUUUCUGCUUAUCUUUUAUUGUUUAAUUUUAGUUAUAAUGUUUGAAAGUCGGGCUACGGUGCUCUCUAAAACUUUUUCAAGAAUUGCUGUUUAAUUACUACUCAUCGUUCAUUGUAAAAUGAACAGUCUAGAUUUCACUGAUGGCAACUGGUUAUGGCCAUGGAAGGUUCAAGUAUGAGCGGCAAGUACUAUAAUUUAGGUAAAAUAUAAGGUUAGUAACUGGUGUAAUUUUUUUAACCUUGGAAGUUAUAAGCGAAGUAAGGAUGGUAUUGACGCAAUUUUUUUCAACUUGGGGGUUCGUAAGCAAAGGUAGGAUGGAUGGCAUUUGAUGCAAUAUUCAAGAGGUUUUAUGAACCAGAAUUCAGAAAUAAAAACAUGGGAGGAAGAACAUUGGCUCUCUCACACAAAACUAAACUUUGAUAACAAAAAUGACAAGCUUCCGCAUCGGUUCAAGCAUCCUUGACAAUCUUGAGUAUCGUUCUCUCCUAGAGAAUGCGGUUCAAUUUCUCAAUUGUUCCUCGAAUAAUCCAUUCAUCAUUUAUGUUCUCCUAUCCUUUGCCAUUUGAUUACAUUUCACUAGUGAAUUUUAAAGGCUUUUUAAUAAGGUACUUGAUCUAUUUAACCCAAUCAUCUGCAAUUUCUUUGGUCGACCUAAUCGAUCCGAUACAUUCACGAGCCUUGAUCAUUGGACAGUCUCUCUCAGGAAACAUGUAUCAAUUGCAGUAUUAGCUGACCAAAUGUCAAGUGUUUGAAGUGAUGUUUCAGAUCCUCAGGAGCAGCACCUUCAGGUAAAAGUAGCGCUCUAGGUCUUCUUAGUCUUCUUGAUCUCUUGCUAGUGGUGUCAUCCCAUCUCUUUUAGCCUAAUUUGUAUUGAAAUAUAAGACAUGCACACAACAUCUCAACUUAAGCAUCCCAAAGUGUGCUGAAUUCUCUGUGAUUACAGUGAUGGUUUUCUUGUAUUGCAAAGUAUUGCAAUAGAAACUUGUUUGGAUCAGUACCCAUAAUCAUUCUCUGGAAGAUGUGCCUCUUCUAUUAAUGGCAAAUUCACCAUGGGGCUCCUAGUCUUGGAAAUCUAAUCUCCUUAUGAAUGACCAUAUAAAUAUUGAAAGUUUGCCUUCAUGCAUCUAUUAUACCGAAUGGGAUAUCAGAUUAAUUUAAUGUGCAAUUUAUACGGAACUGAUGAAUUGGGGAAUCAAAAACAAAUUCCACCACUACAAAGUGGGGCAUUGAAAUAUAUGUAAGUUCAAAUAUAUGAUCAAAAUAAUAUUCGAAAAAAUAAAUUUGCAUAUCUUAAAAGAUAAUAUUAUAUAUUAUGAAUGAUGAUAUUAGCAAAUGACUUCAUUAUUUUAUCAGUGUUUAGGUUUCCAAAAAAAUAAAAAUCUGAUUUAUAUGGGACUGGUAUUAGACACCAUGAUCACGUUAGAGGAAACAUUGACCCUAAAGGGAUGAGAUCAUUCUUUUCUUCCUAUAGAAUUCAGGUUGGCCAACUCUAAAAGUUUUUAUGAAUACUUGAAGAUUGCACAGAUUUAUCCCAAACAGAUAUUAAGUGAUUCCCAUCUUAUGAAUGUAUUCCGACUUAGUGAUUCUAUGGAUUUCUUGUUUCUCUUGUUAUAGCCAAUUACAAUAUAUCUUAAAUUGGCUACAAUUACCCAGGUCAGGACUAGCCCAUCCUCUAGCCAAUUGCACAAACUUUCCAUUUAAGCAUUUCAUCUACCAUGUAUAUUGACCCCUUCACAUAUCCCUUUUUCCUCUUUUAAAUUUUAAUGAAUGCACUUUUGGUCAUCACUUGAAUUACCAAUAAAUCAAACGUCUAUGAAACAAACAUUCAUGCUCAUCUAUAAAAGGUGUCAUUCAUAUUAAAUUCCCACCUCACAAGCACCAAUAGAGGGAUCAAAGUCCUGAGUGGAUCCCCAAGAAAACACACUAGUUUUUGGAAGCCACAUCCAAAUUUAAUUGAAUCAGCACUCGAAAGCCUAAACCAACAGCUGGAAUCCUGUGGAUUAUAAGUGUUGGACCUGCACUGGAUCCCAAUUGACACAUGAUCUCACCCAUGGUCCAGCUCAUUUUAAUAAGUUUACUUCAUGUUUCAGGUCAAAGAGCUUUAUUUGAUUGCUUUGGACCCAGCUGGACCAUUAAUCUUUAGUAACUUAUAAUUUUAAUCUGGUUUUAAGAACCUAGAUUUGGCCAUUAUGAUUCCAACUAAUAUAGAGACCUUUUUCUAAUCACAUUGAAACCAGCAGAAAUCUUUGUAAGUAAAUGCGUCAUGUUUGGAUCUGGGUUUGGUGGAGGCCUGCCAUAUUUUGUAACCCAUCUGUCCCCCCAACCAGAAUUAUUUAAGACAGUUCAGGUUAGCCAACCAAACCUGCAGCACAAAGAAAGAGCCCAAAGCAUGCGUAGCACACCGAACCUUUCUACUUUAAAGCAUUAUUGGUUUCCAUAUCAGACAAUGAGUUGAUGAGAUGGUAGUCAUAUUGAAUACCUCUUCCUUCCUUGAAAGUUCUGUUCUCUUUCAUUGAAUUAUAGGCUGCUGGAUUCUAGACUUCUUUUGUUUGCAGUUUUUUUUUAAUAAUUAAGUUUUGUUUGUGUGAAUGUUUUUUUUUAAAUCUUCUUUGAUUUCUAAGUUGGGCACACGUGGGAUUUGAACGAUGUCCUACGGCAUCUAGAACCCAAUAAAGCCCCCAUCAUCCCAAAGGAAAAAAAAAAAUGGAGGCACUAGAUCCAUCUAGAAUCAGUUCUAGACCUUUUUUUUGAUAGAACUAGACCUGAUUAUGAAACCAACAUAUUCUUUCCUUUCUUCUUCCAUUUGGGCCUUCUAUUGGUAGCAUUUCUUAAAUAAACAAACCGAAAUAACUACAUUCACAUAUUUGAAGUUAGGAGUCGGUUUGUCUACUGUAGCUCACUUUAGUCUUUUUAAAAAAAAAAAAAAAAGUUUAAAACAACUUUGUUGAGAUUUUUUUUUUUGCUGAUAAAUGUAGUAAAAAAAAUGGAAGAAAAAUAUCUAAUCACAGUUAAGAGAUGUAUUUCAACUUUCAAGUCUAGGUCAACAUAUGCAUUGCAUUCACAAUAUCUGCUUCUUCUGUUAGAAACAAAACCAACAUGACAUAAUUCCUUUAGUUGUUCACUCAUCCUGCACUGUCACCACAUCAAAAUCACAAUUUAUCCAUGAGCCAGAUUUAUUUUAAACACAAAAUGUUUUCAAAACGAAGCAAGGAAAAUUUGUAAAACAGAUAUUCCAAUGAGAAAAGCCUCAAUUGCGUAGUAGCAUAAGUGAUGUGAUGCUAUUUGUUUGGAACUUGGGUUAACAAAAGAAAGGACAAUUGUCUUGUGUUCUUUUUCCUUUAUCAAAACACUGCAUAUGCCCAUUCCAAAACCUUAUACUCAAAGGACAAGCACUAAGAGAUAAAGAUUGAUAAAAAAUCAGAACCUUAGCUUUUCCUCUACCUUGGAAGACCAAGGCUGCACCUGCCUAAAAAAGAAAAUAUGACCACAAGUUCACUGAAGAAAAGUUGAGAAUGUUAUGAUACAUAAGAAAAUAUUCAAAUAAUCAACAUUUGAUAAAUAAAAAAAACACUAAAAUUGUUUAUAAAAUCAUGAAUACUCAUCCAAGUAAAUACUAAAUACAAAUAUGGACAACACGAGAAUGAUGAACAGUUACACCAUUUUGUCUGUUAUUAAACAGGAUCAGGAUGGGGAGAUUUCAAAGUCAAUCCAAAAGAAUAAGAAAGAGGAAAGAAAGAAGGAAAGAGGGAAAAGAAAAGAAAAAAAGUAAUACAAGAGAAAAAAGGAGAAAAAAAAGGAAAGAAAUAAGUGGAAAAAGAAAGGCAGGAAGAGAAGAACGAAAAAGAAAGGAAAAGAUAAAAGAAAAAUAGAAGGAAAAAAAAAAAAAAAAGAAACAAAACAAUGGGAGGGAGAGAGAAUAAGAAGAAAGAGAAGGAUGAAGGAUUAUCCAUAACGGGCAAGCCAACUGUUUUUAAUAAAUGCGGAAUUUAUGACCCAUAAAUAAUUCGUUUUAAUGACAAUAAUUAAAAAUAGGCCCUCCCAAAAAGUAGGACCAAUUGUUGAAAGACCCAGAAGAAACUCCAGAGUCAAUCCUUCUGGACUACGUCGUUCUAGAAAGGCUGGCCAUGGGUGUAGGCGGCCGAGGAUAUCCCGCAGCUCCUAUCCCGAAUAUUCCCUCCACCCAACGGCUCCAAACCAUGGAGCCUGCGCGACGGCGGCGUGCGAUCCACGCGUUUCCACCAAAGUUUCGUUGCUCCUUCGAAUAUUCCAUCCUAUCCUCCCCGAUUCUUCUCGGAACCACACCUUGUGGUGGGUAUUCCACCCACCAUGGAAUAAAUCCUUGGAGAUAAAAAAAAAAAAACAAAACAAAAAAAUAAAAAAAACAAAACCGGGAGUCUACAGUUACUCCCAUCACCGCAUAUGCCACAUAAUAUUCCUCUUGCAUCUCCUGCUCCCUAUAAAUAUCCCCCUCCAAACCAUCGCAUCCUCAAAACUCUCACAGAAUAGAAUUGCUAUUCCAAGAAGAAUUGCCAGAGGUUUCUUCAGCUCGAUUUCGAUUCAAUGGCGCGGAUCAUCGUGGUGUUCGACUUCGACAAGACGAUCAUAGACUGCGACAGCGAUAACUGGGUCGUCGACGAGCUCGGCGCCACCGAGCUCUUCGAGCGCCUCCUCCCGACCAUGCCGUGGAAUUCUCUCAUGGUUUGUGCGCCAAUAUCACACCACACUCGUUGCUUUCUUCUUCAUUCCAAAUCAUAUCCAACUCAGUUCUCAGUAUACAUCAUUGUCUUUUAUAACUCUUUCAGGAUAGGAUGAUGAGGGAGCUGCAUUCACAGGGAAAGACAAUCGAGGAGAUCGCGGACUGCCUGAAGAGGGCUCCAUUGGAUCCUCAUGUCAUUGCGGCCAUCAAAUCGGCGUAUGCUCAUGGGUACGCUUUCUUGUUUCUUUUGCCAUGGCUAAUGGUUGCAACUUUUCCAUCGUUUAGGCAUUUCUUGUGCUGAUGGGUUGUUCUUCUUUGGUUUAGGUGUGAGCUGAGGGUGGUGAGUGAUGCCAACCUCUUCUUCAUAGAGACAAUCCUCAAACACCAUGGGCUUCUUGAGUAUUUCUCAGAGAUUAAUACCAAUCCAAGCUAUGUGGAUGAGGAGGGGAGGCUU